rnacentral:rRNA from 1 species
AGUGAACGCUGGCGGUAGGCCUAACACAUGCAAGUCGAACGGCAGCACAGUAAGAGCUUGCUCUUACGGGUGGCGAGUGGCGGACGGGUGAGGAAUACAUCGGAAUCUACUUUUUCGUGGGGGAUAACGUAGGGAAACUUACGCUAAUACCGCAUACGACCUACGGGUGAAGGCAGGGGAUCUUCGGACCUUGCGCGUUUGAAUGAGCCGAGGUCGGAUUAGCUAGUUGGCGGGGUAAAGGCCCACCAAGGCGACGAUCCGUAGCUGGUCUGAGAGGAUGAUCGGCCACACUGGAACUGAGACACGGUCCAGACUCCUACGGGAGGCAGCAGUGGGGAAUAUUGGACAAUGGACGCAAGCCUGAUGCAGCCAUACCGCGUGGGUGAAGAAGGCCUUCGGGUUGUAAAGCCCUGUUGUUGGGAAAGAAAAGCAGCAGGUUAAUACCCCGCUGUUCUGACGGUACCCAAAGAGUAAGCACCGGCUAACUUCGUG